GACGAACGCUGGCGGCGCGCUUAACACAUGCAAGUCGAGCGAGAACCAGAGCUUCGGCUCUGGGGACAGCGGCGAACGGGUGAGUAACACGUGGGUAAUCUGCCCUCGGUACUGGGAUAGCCCGGGGAAACCCGGAUUAAUACCGGAUGGCCCUUUGAGUCCUCGGACUUGAAGGAAAAGGUAGCUUCGGCCUCCGACCGAGGAUGAGCCCGCGGCGGAUUAGCUUGUUGGUGGGGUGAUGGCCUACCAAGGCGACGACGGGUAGCCGGCCUGAGAGGGCGACCGGCCACACUGGGACUGAGACACGGCCCAGACUCCUACGGGAGGCAGCAGUGGGGAAUCUUGCGCAAUGGGCGAAAGCCUGACGCAGCGACGCCGCGUGAGGGAUGACGGCCUCGGUU
rnacentral:rRNA from 1 species